rnacentral:misc_RNA from 1 species
AACUGAUACUACCUGCGGGAACCUGCGGAAGGAUCAUUACAGAAUUGUUCGAAUCCAUACGGACACAUUCUUAAAAUCCGUAUCACACCGGCAGGGCUUUCGGGCCUUUGCCGUAGGGUUCCUCUUUUCUCUUUCUCUGUUAGGGAAGGAGAGGGGGGUUCCUGUCUGACCUUUGCCUAUAAUUUUAAUUUUGUCUGAACUUUUAUUUUACUAUAAAAUAAAAACAACUUUUAACAAUGG